rnacentral:rRNA from 1 species
UACGAAGGGGGCUAGCGUUGCUCGGAAUCACUGGGCGUAAAGCGCACGUAGGCGGGUCUUUAAGUCAGGGGUGAAAUCCUGGAGCUCAACUCCAGAACUGCCUUUGAUACUGAGGAUCUCGAGUCCGGGAGAGGUGAGUGGAACUCCGAGUGUAGAGGUGAAAUUCGUAGAUAUUGGGAAGAACACCGGUGGCGAAGGCGGCUCACUGGCUCAUUUCUGACGCUCAGGCGCGACAGCGUGGGGAUCAAACAGG